CCUACGGGAGGCAGCAGUGGGGAAUAUUGGACAAUGGGCGAAAGCCUGAUCCAGCCAUGCCGCGUGUGUGAAGAAGGCCUUCGGGUUGUAAAGCACUUUCAGUGGGGAAGAAAGCCUUGGGGCUAAUACCCUCGAGGAAGGACAUCACCCACAGAAGAAGCACCGGCUAACACCGUGCCAGCAGCCGCGGUAAUACGGAGGGUGCGAGCGUUAAUCGGAAUUACUGGGCGUAAAGCGCGCGUAGGCGGUCUGAUAAGCCGGUUGUGAAAGCCCCGGGCUCAACCUGGGAACGGCAUCCGGAACUGUCAGGCUAGGGUGCAGGAGAGGAAGGUAGAAUUCCCGGUGUAGCGGUGAAAUGCGUAGAGAUCGGGAGGAAUACCAGUGGCGAAGGCGGCCUUCUGGACUGACACUGACGCUGAGGUGCGAAAGCGUGGGUAGCAAACAGGAUUAGAUACCCCUGUAGU
rnacentral:rRNA from 1 species